AACUAAUCGGGAGCUAAUGCCGCUCUCCUGACGAGGCCAUGGCAGGCCGAAACCAAUU
rnacentral:hammerhead_ribozyme from 15 species